AUCGCUUCUCGGCCUUUUGGCUAAGAUCAAGUGUAAAAUGUGAGAUUUCACACUGCCCUGGCAUAUACUUUAGUUCUUUUUCUCUUAGACUUGAUUUAAAAUUUUUAUUUUAUUUUUAUGUGACAAGUAUAGCAAGUAGUUUUGUUAUCAGCCUACUGUGACAACAUUCAUGACAUUAUAGGGUGGUUGCUU